rnacentral:RNase_P_RNA from 1 species
CGCGCCCGCCGGGCAGCCGCCUCGACACUGUCGGGGAGGAAAGUCCGAACUCCACAGGGCAGGAUGCCGGAUAACAUCCGGGCGCCGCAAGGCGACGGAAAGUGCAACAGAAAAGACACCGCCUGCGGUAUUCAACCGCAGGUAAGGGUGAAAUGGUGCGGUAAGAGCGCACCGGCGGCCUGGAGACAGGCCGGCCUGGCAAACCCCAUCCGGAGCAAGACCAAGCAGGACGUCUUCGACAGACCGCGUGGCCCGCGCGGACCCGCAACCGCGGGAGACGUCCGGGUAGGUCGCUGGAAUGCCGCGGCAACGCGGCAUCAAGAGAAAUGGCUGCCUCGUCCCGCCAGGCGCGGGAUAGACAGAAUUCGGCUUAUAGGCGGACGCGGGCU